UGCGAACGCUGGCGGCAGGCUAACACAUGCAAGUCGAGCGGGCAUAGCAAUAUGUCGGCGGCAGACGGGUGAGUAACGCGUGGGAACGUACCUUUUGGUUCGGAACAACACAGGGAAACUUGUGCUAAUACCGGAUAAGCCCUUACGGGGAAAGAUUUAUCGCCGAAAGAUCGGCCCGCGUCUGAUUAGCUAGUUGGUGAGGUAAUGGCUCACCAAGGCGACGAUCAGUAGCUGGUCUGAGAGGAUGAUCAGCCACAUUGGGACUGAGACACGGCCCCAACUCCUACGGGAGGCAGCAGGGGGGAAGAUUGGACAAUGGGCGCAAGCCUGAUCCAGCCAUGCCGCGUGAGUGAUGAAGGCCCUAGGGUUGUAAAGCUCUUUUGUGCGGGAAGAUAAUGACGGUACCGCAAGAAUAAGCCCCGGCUAACUUCGUGCCAGCCGCCGCAGUAA
rnacentral:rRNA from 1 species